rnacentral:rRNA from 1 species
CCCCUAGAUGUUCUGGGCCGCACGCGCGCUACACUGAACAGUUCAACAAGUCUUAACCUUGGCCGAUAGGUCUGGGUAAUCUUUGAACGCUGUUCGUGAUUGGGAUAGACCUUUGCAAUUAUGGGUCUUCAACGAGGAAUUCCUAGUAAACGCAAGUCAUCAGCUUGCAUUGAUUACGUCCCAGCCCUUUGUACACACCGCCCGUCGCACCUACCGAUUGAAUGGUCCGGUGAAAUCUCGGGACGGCGGCUUGGUCGCUUGCGUCCGACUGCUGAAACUUGAUUAAACCAUAUCAUUUAGAGGAAGGUGAAGUCGUAACA